CGGUGGUGCUGCUGAAGGCAAGUGACAACUUACUGGUAGUUAACAAAACAAGAAAUACAACUUAAUUUUUAUGAACAACACUUUCUCUGUUAUAAAUUAUGGUUAUGAAAAGUUAUUCCAUCAGAGGGAGCUAUAAGAAUGCAGUUGAAGAGAAGUAAAACUUAGCAACGACUGAAGAAAUCGGCUUGGGCAACACCUGCAUAGCAGAAGGUGGAAGAUACAAGUGCCUCAGGACUCACACCACCAGCUUCAAGAACAGUUAAUACACCUCAACCAUCAGGCUCUGGAGCAAAAGAGGAUAACUACACACAUUCUAUUGCUGGUGUUCCCACAACUAUUGAUCUCACUUUAAGGACUCUCUAUCUUGUUGUUUCAUGCAUUCUUAUUUAUUGCUAUUCAUUUAUAUUUGUAUUUGCACAGUUUGUUGUCUUCUCUGCUCUUGCAUUCAUUGAUCCUGUUUACAGUCACUGUGCUAUAGAUUUGCUGGGUAUACCCACAGGAAAAAAUAUGUAAUCAUAAUAAAUUUUACUUUUAACUUUGAAGGAAGAAAUUAAAUGGUGAUGCAGACAUUCCCAUCUUCCUACUGACAAUUCAUUUUCCACUGUUUUUGGGUAGGAAUUAUGGUUGAUGCAUUUGAUGUUACUUUCUUGCCUUUCAUUUCCCUAGAAAUGAAAGAAUACUUCAGCAAUCCAUUGUUUAAGGGCAGGCACCAGGCAUAACAAUUUGUCUUACAGCAUUAUAAGUCACCCUGACAUCAUUCUCUGACCUCAAGGAACGUGUAGAAAAAUAUUUACUGAAACAACCUCACUUAUUUUAACGCAAAAUGUCCUUUAUGGUAUGCUGCAAUAGCAUAUAACUUAACUUUUUGAACACAUUGGAACAGAUUUACUAUUUGCAUAGUGAUUGGAAAUCCUAUGAUGUUCCUUUGAACUGGAAAUGUCAUAGCAAGCGUAACAAGCUUGAUUUUCUCCAGUGUGUUUAUUAUGUUUCUUUAGCACUUUCAUGUUCCUAACACCCU